GUCUAAAUGAUCAUUUACAGUAUCGUUUGGGUUGUUUUUGCUCUGCCUGCCUCAUAAAAUAUCCUCAAAAACACCUGGCUUCAGCUAGUCUCGUUCUGUUUUAGUAUAAAACCGAAAUAUACAAUUCAAGGAAGAAAGAUUAACGCUACUACACCAUUCGGAUUCAAAUGGAUGGAUGGUAUAGCCAUUUGACUUCAGCAAAAUAACAGAGAAUGCAAUCUUCUUGAUUGUUGCAUGCGUUUUGCCGCGUAGCUUUUACGGCUUCAAUCCAUGUACUCAUAUCAGGUCAACCUCAUUCCUUGUAAAGUUCCAACUCCCUAUGUAUAGAAGGCACUCCUAUCUCUUUCUGAAUGACUGCAUGCAAGAUACAAAAGGAAUAUUACUGAAACUAGAAAUAUGUGUGUUCCCCCACGAUCAACUGUAUGAUGCAGAGAGGUAGUACACCGGCUUCAACUAGUUAGGGUCACUUGACUUGGAAGAAGAUAAAUCAAUUCUCUUAAGAUUUGGUCAAGAGGUUCAGAAGUAACAGUUCAAGUAUUGCCUGCCUAAUUAAAGUCCAUUUGCCUUUUUCUUAAAGCAUCUAUCUUUCUUCUUCUGACAAAAUUUGGUCAAGGCUGCUUCUCUGGCAAGUUUAGAAGGAUCUGUCGUGUUUCCACAACCAAUGCCGCUGGCAUCACCACUUUCAUUUUUGCCAGCUAACCCAUUAUCACUUUCCCCAUUUGUUCCUCCAGCAUUUAUAGCUGUGAAGCUUCCAUCCUGCACAUUGCUUCCACGGUUACUUCCCGAAGCACUUCUGUUCAAACUGUGAUACUCAGGGUUCCCUUCACAAGGCCUAGAUAGAAUGUUGAAUGAAGCACAACUUGGGCCACCGGCAGUUAGUUUCUUCAAUGAGAAAUCUACAUGGGUGGAAGUGCAAUCUUGAUCUACGUCAUGGAAGUGAUAAUGGUGGUGGUGCUGAUGAGGGUGCUGGAUGUCAGUGAGAGAGCCUCGCAGAACAAGACUGUCUGUAGCUUGCAUGUUACAAGGUUUAAGCUUAACUUGUGGCACUUGCUGAUGGGAGAUUCUGAAAUCAAUAUUCACAGGCUUGAAAGCUGAUGAUGAGUGCAAACCCUUAAUUGUUGAUGUUGC
rnacentral:misc_RNA from 1 species